GUAGCUAAUACCGCAUAACGUCGCAAGACCAAAGAGGGGGACCUUCGGGCCUCUUGCCAUCGGAUGUGCCCAGAUGGGAUUAGCUUGUUGGUGGGGUAACGGCUCACCAAGGCGACGAUCCCUAGCUGGUCUGAGAGGAUGACCAGCCACACUGGAACUGAGACACGGUCCAGACUCCUACGGGAGGCAGCAGUGGGGAAUAUUGCACAAUGGGCGCAAGCCUGAUGCAGCCAUGCCGCGUGUAUGAAGAAGGCCUUCGGGUUGUAAAGUACUUUCAGCGGGGAGGAAGGGAGUAAAGUUAAUACCUUUGCUCAUUGACGUUACCCGCAGAAGAAGCACCGGCUAACUCCGUGCCAGCAGCCGCGGUAAUACGGAGGGUGCAAGCGUUAAUCGGAAUUACUGGGCGUAAAGCGCACGCAGGCGGUUUGUUAAGUCAGAUGUGAAAUCCCCGGGCUCAACCUGGGAACUGCAUCUGAUACUGGCAAGCUUGAGUCUCGUAGAGGGGGGUAGAAUUCCAGGUGUAGCGGUGAAAUGCGUAGAGAUCUGGAGGAAUACCGGUGGCGAAGGCGGCCCCCUGGACGAAGACUGACGCUCAGGUGCGAAAGCGUGGGGAGCAAACAGGAUUAGAUACCCUGGUAGUCCACGCCGUAAACGAUGUCGACUUGGAGGUUGUGCCCUUGAGGCGUGGCUUCCGGAGCUAACGCGUUAAGUCGACCGCCUGGGGAGUACGGCCGCAAGGUUAAAACUCAAAUGAAUUGACGGGGGCCCGCACAAGCGGUGGAGCAUGUGGUUUAAUUCGAUGCAACGCGAAGAACCUUACCUGGUCUUGACAUCCACGGAAGUUUUCAGAGAUGAGAAUGUGCCUUCGGGAACCGUGAGACAGGUGCUGCAUGGCUGUCGUCAGCUCGUGUUGUGAAAUGUUGGGUUAAGUCCCGCAACGAGCGCAACCCUUAUCCUUUGUUGCCAGCGGUCCGGCCGGGAACUCAAAGGAGACUGCCAGUGAUAAACUGGAGGAAGGUGGGGAUGACGUCAAGUCAUCAUGGCCCUUACGACCAGGGCUACACACGUGCUACAAUGGCGCAUACAAAGAGAAGCGACCUCGCGAGAGCAAGCGGACCUCAUAAAGUGCGUCGUAGUCCGGAUUGGAGUCUGCAACUCGACUCCAUGAAGUCGGAAUCGCUAGUAAUCGUGGAUCAGAAUGCCACGGUGAAUACGUUCCCGGGCCUUGUACACACCGCCCGUCACACCAUGGGAGUGGGUUGCAAAAGAAGUAGGUAGCUUAACCUUCGGGAGGGCGCUUACCACUUUGUGAUUCAUGACUGGGGUGAAGUCGUAACAAGGUAACCGUAGGGGAACCUGCGGUUGGAUCACCUCCUUA
rnacentral:rRNA from 1 species